GUGGGGAAUAUUGGACAAUGGGGGGAACCCUGAUCCAGCCAUGCCGCGUGUGUGAAGAAGGCCUUUUGGUUGUAAAGCACUUUAAGCGAGGAGGAGGCUACUAGUAUUAAUACUACUGGAUAGUGGACGUUACUCGCAGAAUAAUCACCGGCUAACUCUUUUCCAGCAGCCGCGGUAAUACAGAGGGGGCGAGCGUUAAUCGGAUUUACUGGGCGUAAAGCGUGCGUAGGCGGCUGAUUAAGUCGGAUGUGAAAUCCCUGAGCUUAGCUUAGGAAUUGCAUUCGAUACUGGUCAGCUAGAGUAUGGGAGGGGAUGGUAGAAUUCCAGGUGUAGCGGUGAAAUGCGUAGAGAUCUGGAGGAAUACCGAUGGCGAAGGCAGCCAUCUGGCCUAAUACUGACGCUGAGGUACGAAAGCAUGGGGAGCAAACAGGAUUAGAAACCCGAGUAGUCC
rnacentral:rRNA from 1 species